rnacentral:lncRNA from 1 species
AGUGAGUGAGUUCUGAUAACAUUUGAUGGUUUUAUAAGGGGCUCUUCCCCCUUCACUCAGCACUUCUCCUUCCUGCCGCCUUUUGAAGAAGGUGCCUUGCUUCCCCUUUGCCUUCCGCCAUUAUUGUAAGUUUCCUGAGGCCUCCCCAGCCAUGCUGAACUGUGAUUCAUUUAAAACUCUUUCCUUUAUAAAUUACCCAGUCUCAGGCAGUUCUUUAUGGCAGUAUGAAAACGGACUAAUACAGAAAUGAAUCAUUAUCAUUGAAACUUUUAUCACUUUAAAGACAAGAGAUUGAUUUUGUUCUGGCCAUUUUCUUGAACAACUACAUCUGGGGGUGUAGUACUGAAAAUUCAGCACUCUCUGGAACCCACGUUCUCUCCCUUCUGGGUUAGGGAAUAACAUCAAGUCUCCUUCCUUUGAGCCCUGGAUCAAAGAGACCUGAUAGGUGAUUGAUUGUGUGGGCAGAAUGGAGACUUGGGAAAUGGAGUCACAUUCUGCCCUUCAUUGUCCCUCAGGAACUACUUAUGCCCUCAUUGUUUUAUCCAAUUUUAGGUGUGCUUUUAAAUGUACAUAUCACAUACACUUUUCCACUGUGGAAAAGACACAACCACAAACUCCAGCAUGAAGAACAGCCCAGUUGACCUCCCUCAUCUUUACAAUAGGACAAAACAGCUUCUUGAGUUCAUUGGAAACAAAGCCUUUCCUACAGGGAUGAGACCUUUUCCCAUUGUUUAUUUAUUUAUUCACUCAAGAAACAUUGAACUCCUACUAUAAAAAUUGCCCUUCCUAUAAAUGAAUGAAUUCAAGCUACAGAGGUUAAAAGGCUUAGAGAAAAUUAUCCAGCAAGCAAUGAAAAUUUUGAGUGUCGACUCCAGGGACGCUUGGUUUUAAAUCCAUGCAAUAAAUCAUUAAACUACACACAGACACACACACAGCAGUUUAAUUAAUGUUGAGCAACAGGUUUUUAAAAAUUAUUCCUCAUUUGAUUUUUAUUUGUGAUAAGAAAAUGUAAAAUAAUCAUUUUUAAAGAUUCAUGCAUAGCCCACUAUUCUCACUUUUCCAGCCCUUGUUUGUACAAAACUAUAUUUUCAACAAACUGUAGCCAGCACAUUUUUAUUCUUCUUUUGUGUUUAAUAUUACGGUAUUUUCCAUUUUGCUAUAUAAUCAUAAUCAUUGUUUUAUUGCUGCAUAAUAUUCUAUCAAAUUGAUAUACCAUAGCUUAGCUAUUCCCACAUAAUUGGACAUUAAAUCCUUCCGAUGUUUUGUUGUUACAGGUAAUGCUGCUGUGAUAACUUCAUGUGUGUAGCUUUUCCUUUCCUUUAAAUUAUGUCCUGUGAAGAGAUUCCCAGGAGUGAAACUACUGAAAGAUAAGAAAGAGUGGUAUAGUUGAGAUGAAAUUAGCAUUAGGAACAGAAUUGAAGACAAAGAUCAGCCCAGCAAUGGCCCAUUCCCCUGCAGGGAGAAUUCUCAACCAGAUAUUGACUGGUUUAAUUGAUUUCGUGGUGUUCCUGCUCAUCAUGAAUAUAUCCACAAUAACCACAUCAGGUGAGUCACUGUUGGACAAUUCUUAACAUUUACGAUGAGCAAUGUCGAUCCUACAGCUAUAUCGUAUUGAUCUCCUUCGAUACUGCUCUCGUUGGUCUGUGCUCCUCCUAUUUUGUCUACAGAUAAAAAGUGUAGAGUCAUGAAGAAUCCAGGAUUUAAAGACUAGAGGUCUGGACUGAAGUUGUCUUCUACUUAGCACUUGUGUGAUUUUUUAAGCUGAUCACUUACCUUGUUGAUCCUGCAAAAUGAAGCCUGUCUUUCAGGGUUGUGGAAAAACUCAAAAGAGCCAAUACAUAUGAAAAUCUUUUUUUAAAAAAAGCAACAUAUACAUACGUACUUCAAAAUUUUUUAAAAAUUUCUGCUAUACGGAGUGAACAGAACCAAUCUGAAGCAGGAUGCAACCCAGUCAAGCGAGAACACUGUACUCAACCUAAAAAAGUGACUCUCAAGAGGUACCUGGUAAUUCAGGUAGAUUUCUUAAUAUAAAAAGGAGUAUUUUCAAUUUCUGGUUCUGUAGACCCACCUUCCCCAAACUUCACAAUGGUCCCAGACACUUGGGAGAACUUGAAUGCUUGAGAUGCAAAGUGCUUUGGGUAACUUCUAUUUAAUCUGCUCAGCUCAGCAAAGCUGUGGGUAAAUAUUCAAAAACACCCAAGGGUUUGUCUAGAGCAACCUCCCCAAUCUGGGGAAUUGCACACAGCCAGAGCUUGCUUGGGAUGGCCUUAGCCACAGUCCUCCUUCCACUGCCUGGCCCCUGCCUGUUUCACAUCAUCCGCCCGUAAGCAAUGUGGUAAAGCAGAUUCCAGUCCCUCGUGAAUUCCCCAAAGGUGCAUUUCAAUAUGAACCCCCUUGAUUUGCCAUUCUCUUUUGCCUCUACCUAACUUUAAUAACUUUUCCCUAAUUUUUACCAAUAUUUUCCACUUGGGGCUUUUAUUAUUUAGAUGUCUUUUUCUUACCUCAUGUAUUUGCAUUUCCUUUGUAGAAGAGAAGGGGAGAGUGGCAGUUCCUGAUUACUUGAGAACUUCAGGGAAGCCUGAAGACCCACCUGGAAUGUGAAUAAGAGUUUUCAGGUGAUGGCAGCCUUAUUUUAGGGAGCCUAAUUCCUCUUCUGAAAUUGUCUUCAGAUCCAAUUUUCAUACCACCUGUGAGUACCAAUCUCAUCUAGAUGGUCACCUCCUUUUUUGACUUGAGGGUAUAUUGUUCAUAUUGAUCACCUUCCUAAUAGUAAUAAUAGCUAUGCAAUAUUUUCAGACCCUGUCUUAAGCAUUUUAAAUGUAUUACUUUAUUUAAUUCUGUGACAGUCUUAUGGCAGCAAUCCUAUGACAAAAGUAAUCAGUCAGAAAAAUGGAAACCUUGUUAAGUGUUCUAAACAGAUUGUGAUUUAAUAUAAGGAAUUUCCAAUUGAGAAAGACUAGAGAACAAAAUGUUAAGAAAGGCCACCACUAACUUUCAGGUUCACCAUGUGGCCUGAGGAAUCAGGAAAUUGCUGCUACUGCUCAUGUUAGGAAAUUACAAGAAGCCUUCACCAAUGGUCAUAAUCAACCUACAGCACAAAGGAGUCUUCAUGAACCUUUUGUUCACAACCUCAAUCAGUGAAGAGAGGAAGUCCGCUUUCAGCUCCUCUCCAGGAUCCCCGUGGGUGGCUUCCCUCCACCAUAUGUUCCUCCGAAGCUGUGCUGCCCAGCCACUUGCCUUGGGGCUCGGUACAAAUGCAUCUUGGAGGUGAAGUGCUGGGGAAGACGAAAGUGCUCUUUCCAGAUGGCACCAAAUUAGCCUCUUGAGAUACGGAUUUGCCGGGAAUAUGUUUAUAAGGAAAGCAAACAAAGGAGUCCCUGGAGAUUUUAAACAGUCUAGGGCCUUGGGUGGGAAAUGGGGGAGGUAAGGAAGAAGGCUGGGGAAAGAGGCUGGAGAAGGCAGUAGGGCAAGGGAGGGGGGCAUCUAUCCCAAACCCACCCACAGCCAACUCUCGCCUCCUCCUGGCCAUUCACAAGGAAGCCAGUUUCAUUGCCAGACAACACACAUUAUCAGUAUGAUUUAAAAAUAAUGAUCUGAUUAAUUUAAAUGUGAAUCUGAUUGCCUUUAAUAUUGAAACACUGGCUCUAACAACGCCUUCAAGAGCUUAAAAAGAAGUCUUGCUUGUCUUAUGUAGCUAGUGUUUAUUUUGUACUUACUAUGAGUCAGGCAUUAUCACAUUUAAUUCACAAAAGUCACACCAAGAGGUAGACAUGAUUACAAUGUCUAUAUUACAGAUAAGGACACAAAGGUUUAGAGAAGUUUUAAAAAGGUAAAAAAACAUAUCUAAGAUUACAUAUCUAGUAGGUGGCACCUCUGAGCUGUAUACUCAGGGUUGUGAAACCAAACUCAGUGUUGAUAACCUCAAUGCUCAACUGCCUCUACGUAGCUGAAGCACUGCCUCCUGCCCUCUGCCCUCUCUGCUUCCCAGAAUCAUCACCCUUUUCUGUGAGUUCUUCUUUAUUGGCUGAGAGACACCAGACCCUUCAUAAUCCUGAUUUCUCUCCUCAGGUUCUCAGUGAUCUAGUGCUUCACACUAUACUUGAUCAUGUUGCCCAGCUAGUGUUGGGUUGAUUAUUGUUUUCUUUGUUUUAUCAAGAAUGACAAACAAGAAGCUGUGUUGGGUGAGUGUCCCCAGAAACUGAUCCUGAGACAAAGAUUUAGGUGUGAGUGGUUUAUUUGGGAGGUGAUUCCUGGAAGCAUCUGUGGAGGACUGGGGAGGUGAGACAGACUGGAAAGGCAUCCAAUGGUGACUGCCAUGGGCAACUGAGACUUAACUUGCUGGUGAACUGUGGGAGAGGCUGCAGAGCACACCUGAGAAUUUUUCCCUCUAAGGGGCGAGGAUGUUAGGGAUAUUUAUCUUCCCACUCUCAUCUGUCAGAGGGAUUUACUUCACAGCACUCCCAGCCUCCCCCAUGUGCAGAUCAAGAGAAAGUGCCUAGGCAGAAGUUGCAGGUGCUUGCAA